rnacentral:lncRNA from 10 species
CGGGGUUGGAGGGUUGGAAGGUCGGGAAGUGAAGGACUCGCAGGCAUAUUUAACAACGCAAAGUUGCUAGGAGUUGGUACCAGCGUUUGGGAGGUAGAGGUGGCGCUCAUGCAUAUUUGAGACAACAUCUGGAUGGUUGGGGAGAACGGUGAUGCCACACUCAAUCAGAAACUAUGCUACUGCUGAAGAGGUAUAUUGAGCCCUGCCUGGUUAACCUCCAGUGAGGUUAUUAGAGAAUUGGGAGAGGCUCAAAUCAGCAUCCUGCACCUAGUUAUCAAACCAUUGUGAAGUCUUGAUUCCUGGAUGGCCAGAAAACUUGUCAUUGGUCAAGAGCAACAUUAAGAUCUGCCUGUUACUCAUACUGAUGCUUCCUGCCCAGCAAGUUCAUCAGAGGGCGAGGAUGAAUUACGGUUGCCAUGAAUGUCCUUGUGAGGCAGUUGGGAAGCCUUGGCUGGAUUGUGAAGGAUAUUUGAAAAGUAUUUUAGAGUCCACCAGAUCAUCCAUGUGAGUGACCAUGCAGCAAAAGAAGGAGGGUCCUCUCAGUGAUUAAGGAUUAUGAAGUAUUAAUUCUUCCACUGAUAUCUCAAAAGGUGAUCUGGACAAAGGAACAGGUAUCUCAGGAUUCCUCCUUGGUCACUUUUCAGCAGCAGCCUGCUCUUCUUUUGCAAUCUCUUCAGGAUCUCUGUAGAAGUAGAGAUCAGGCAUGAACUCCCACGGGUGUUCACGGGAAAUGGUGCCACGCAUGCGCAGAACUUCCCGAGCCAGCAU